rnacentral:lncRNA from 1 species
CUCUCGCCACCCGCCCUCACCAGCAUCCCCGCGCCUCUCCCCGCCAACCCUGCCCGGAGCGCCAGCGAUGCCCUCUGCCCGCGGGGACCCGAGCCUCGCGCGCCCUCCGCCCUCCCUACCCUGGCCCCUGUACCCAUCACACCUGGGGCACUGCCGUCCGCCGAGCUUGGGCGCGCGGCGGCGAGAAGGCACUGGAGGAGGAGAAGCAGCCGGGGCGUAGGCGCCCUCGCCCCCAGCAGGCCGGGGAGGGCGCGCAUGGCGCCAGAGGGUCCGCCUCAGUUCUCGUGGAGACUGCUCCCUCAGCUCGCCGCCGCGGGUGUCCGGAAUCCCUCCGCACACUCGCAGGUGGCCCGGCACCCGCAGCCAGUGCCGCGGGCAGGACGCUGAAGAAAAGGCGGAAUGGGAGGGGCCCGGCCGCCUUGCCCUACUCCCCGAGACGCUCUUACCGCGCCCGGCCUUCCAUCAGUUAUGCAGCCCUCAGCCCGCUGCUGGCGUUCCCGGAUGUGCGGUGCUACUCCCGGCUGCAGCCUCUCCGGCCUCCGCCCUCUAGGCUCUAGCAGGUCGGGAGAGAGCUUGGGCAGGUGAUGUGUAGCCCAUCGCGUGGGGAGAGGUUGAAACUAUCCCUGCAGACUGGCCUUUGCACUUCAUCUGAGGCAGAUUUCACUAAUUUUCGUUGAUGGGACAGAUGAGAGACACUUUCCUCCUCCCCGACCCCGGACAUCUUUGGGCUUUCUUAUGAGGGAGGCUUAUUUUUGCGCAGGUGUAAGGUUUUAUCCAGCUGCCAGACAACUUGUACUGAUCUUUCUUUGCUUUGCCUACUAAUCACACACACCCUCUCUUCUAGCCUGUGAAGACUUAACUGAUUUUCUACGGAUGAAGGUUUCAGUGUCCCAAGGCCCCAUACCGUAUCUGAUUUUACUUUAUUUUUGUUUGUUAAGCCUAACAGCUUCUGAGGAGCCACGUAGAGCUCAAGAAGCAAAAGCUACUGAGAGUAGAUGCUAUGUAAACUGCACAAGACGUUGACCUUUGUUAAAUCCGAACACUGUUUAAGAUAAUGCUAUCUCUUACCCACGAGGCUGUAGCUUGGAAUAUUCAGUGCUCUGAACCAAAUUAAAUAAAUUAGUGCUUUAUCCGGGAGGGGAGGAGAAAUCUAUGUUGUAACAUUGAAACACAUUGAUUUGAUUUCUCUCCAGGAUGUUAUAACGCAUUAAAAGAUAUUUUAAAUAUUUUUCACGAG